rnacentral:sRNA from 1 species
AAACAAACAAGCCAAGAGAAUACAUUCAUAUAUCGCUAAUGAUAUUAGCCAAAUGUUUGGACUCAAAUGAAAGACCUUGCCAAAGAAGUAUCCAACACUAGUCCUUAUCUAAAUCAGAAGAAAUGCCAAUACCUUAUGGCAAAGGAGGAAGGGAGAAAGUUUUGGGUCUUCCUAAGAACCUACAAGAUGUGCUAAAGAUUCUCGAUUGGAUUAAAAUCAGGAACAUUGCCCGGCCUGUCCAAGAUCCUUUGUAUAAAUCAGGCAACAUAAAACAGCAAGGUUAAAAAAAUGGCAAGGAGCAGAAAAGUCCUAGAAGAUGAGGAAGUGUGCCCUCAAUAGACCGUAAGAGGGUUUCCUCUGAAUGAAUCUAUUAAAUAGUGCCAGAUCCUGCUGACUCCUUGUCCCAGCGUUCUUCGACUUCACUACUAUCCGAACCAAACAGGUUUAUCUUUGACUACCAGUCCAAGUUUCGCUGAGUUUGGGCCAUUGGAACCUACUCUGGGGCUUUUCUAGUGUCAAAAGUGGUCUUUUUGCAGACCUCAAGACGCCACCGCUAAGGCUUAGUGCUAAUAAUCGGUACCAACCGAUUGAAUAAGCUCCCUUCUAAUAUCUUAUGGAAUUUUGAACCGUCUUUCGAUGCUCAAGCGUUUAAGAAGCGUCCGUUGGGGUGGCUCUUAUCUUACGUCCCGAGGCCUGUUUAUGGAGGACUUACUCAAGCUAAUGAAUGUAUCUACACAAUAAAAGUGUUUACCGACUGA